UAUUUAAUUAAUAAAUUAAAAUAUUUUUUGUAAUUAAUGAUUUUAUAAAAAUAAUUUAUUUUUUUUUGUUUUAGUAUUAAGUUAAAAUUAAUUUUAAGAUUUAUAGAUUAUUAGUAUUGUGAAAGAAAUUUUUUAAAUUUUAAGAAGAUUAAUUUUAGUACCUUUUGUAUCAGGGUUAAUUAAAAUUUUUAAUUAAUAUUUAAUUUCUCAAAAUUUACAGAGUUAAUUUUAUUAUUAAUUUAUUGUUUUAUAAAUAUUUAAAAAAUAAUUUUAGUUUAAAAAUUUAAUUCGUUGUAUUAUAUUUAGUUAUUUAAGAUUUAAAUUUAAUUUAUAAUUUUAAAAGUUAUAUUAAUUUUUUUUAUAUUAAUAUUUUAGAUUUAGAUUAUUUUAGGGAUAAGCUUAAAAUUUUUAUAUAAUCAAUUAGAUUUAAAUUAAAUAUUUUAUAGAAAUAGAAAUUUUUAUUUAAAGUUUGUAAAAAUUUAUUAUUUAUUUUAAUUUUAAUUUAUUAUAAUUAAUUUAUUUUUUAUAUUAAAUUUUAUAAUUAAAUUAUUUAAUUAUAAAAAUAAUGAUUAAAUUAGUAUAAUUUUUUUUUUAUUAAUUAUGAAUUUGGCAAAUAUUAUUUUCAUCUGUUUAACAAAAACAUUGUAUUAAGUUUAAUUUAAUAUAGAAUCUGCUCAAUGAUAAUAAUUUAAAUAGCUGCAGUAUUUUGACUGUGCAAAGGUAGCAUAAUAAUUAGUCUUUUAAUUGAAGAAUAGAAUGAAAGAUUUGAUGAAAAAUAAACUUUAUUAUUAAUAUAAUUAAAAUUUUAUUUUUAAGUAAAAAAGCUUAAAUAUUUUAAAGGGACGAUAAGACCCUAUAAAACUUUAUAAUUAUUAUUUAUUUAUUUAUUUAGUAAAUAAUAAUUUAAAUUUUAAUAAUUAUUUUAUUGGGGUGAUAAAAAAAUUUUUUUAACUUUUUUUAAAAAUUAACAUUAAUUAUUGAUUAUUUGAAUUAAAAUUUUUAUUUAAAAGAAAAAGUUACUUUAGGGAUAACAGCGUAAUUAAUUUUUUAAGUUCAAAUUUUAAAAUUAGU
rnacentral:rRNA from 1 species